rnacentral:rRNA from 1 species
UGAACCUACGGGGGGCAGCAGUGGGGGAUAUUGCACAGUGGGGGGAACCCUGAUGCAGCGACGCCGCGUGGGUGAUAACGGCCUUCGGGUUGUAAAGCUCUGUCUUCAGGGACGAUAAUGACGGUACCUGAGGAGGAAGCCACGGCUAACUACGUGCCAGCAGCCGCGGUAAUACGUAGGUGGCGAGCGUUGUCCGGAUUUACUGGGCGUAAAGGGAGCGUAGGCGGACUUUUAAGUGAGAUGUGAAAUACUCGGGCUCAACUUGAGUGCUGCAUUUCAAACUGGAAGUCUAGAGUGCAGGAGAG